UCAGUGUUUUUCACUUUAGAUUGAACAGGAAUGUCCUGUACAGAGCCUUGUGUCAUUCAAGGAUGUGACUGUGGACUUCACUUGGGAGGAGUGGCAGCAGCUGGACACAGCUCAAAGAAACCUGUACAGGGAUGUGACGCUGGAGCACUUCAGCAACCUUGUCUCAGUGGGGUAUCAGCAACUGAAGUCAGAUGUAAUCUUAUUGAAGCCAGGAGAAUGACGGAUGGAGGGGAGAGAAAUCUCAAGUUGGGACUAUUCAGAGUGCAAGAGUGAAGUAAGAUUACUUACACUUGGGCUUUUUUCCAACGUUGAAACUGGAAUGAAAGAAUUUACACCACAGAAGAACAUUUCUGAAGAAGUGAUACUCCAUAACACGACUAUAUACUCAAUCUUUGAAGACUGGAAACUUGGAGAUAACUCACCAAAGAAAACAAGACAAUUUUUUGAACCACGUUGCAUUCAUUAACAAUAAGCCACUGACUGAGGAGAUAGAUUGUGAAUGUAACAGUGCACUGGGCAAAGGAAUUCAUCUGAACAGAACAUCUAAUGAACACAACAGAGCCUUCAUGCAAAAGCCACAUCUUUUUACACAACUGAAAAUUCUCACCAGUGAGAAAUUACAUAAAUGUGUUCAGUGUGCGAAAGCCUUCAGUGGAAAGUCCAGACUCAUAGUACAUCAGAGAAUUCAUACUGGAGAGAAACCAUACAAAUGUAAUGAAUGUGAAAAAGCCCUUAUUCAGAAGUCACAACUUACUGUACAUCAGAGAACUCAUACAAGAGAGAAACCCGAUGAAAUGUAGUGAGUGUGGGAAAGCGUUCAUCCCGAAGUCAAAACUCAUUAUUCAUCAGAGGAUUCAUACAGGGGAAAAACCUUAUGAAUGCAAUGAAUGUGGGAAAGCUUUUAUCAAGAAGUCAACAUUUAGUGUUCAUCAAAGAGCUCAUACUGGGGAGAAACCAUAUGAAUGUAGUGACUGUGGGAAAGCCUUCAACUGACGGCCACAGCUCAUUGUACAUCAGAGAAUUCAUACUGGGGAGAAACCGCAUGGAUGUAUGAGUGUUGGAAAGCUUUCAACAGGAAGUCAGAACUAAGUGUACAUCAUAGAAUUCACACUGGGGAGAAACCCUUUGAGUGUAAUGAAUGUAAAAGCCUUCAUUCAAAAGUCAGAUCUCAUUGUAAUCAGAGAACUCACACUGGGGACAAAAGGUAUCAAUGCAGUGAUUGUGGGAAAGCCUUUUUCCGGAGCUCACAGUUCAUUGGACAGCAGAGAUUUCAUACUGGAGAAACCCUAUGAAUGCAGUGAAUGCAGAAAAGCUUUUAUCCAGAAACCACAACUCAGUGUGCAUCAAAGAAUCCAUAUUGGGACGAAGCCAUAUGAAUGUAUUGAGUGUGGAAAAGCCUUUAGUAAGAAGUCACACCUCACUGUACAUCAUAGAAUACAUACUGGAGAAAAAUCCUAUGAAUAUAGUAAUUGUAGAAAAGCUUUCAGCAAGAAAUCUACUCUCGUUGUUCAUCAGAGAAUUCAUAUUGAACACAAAUCCAUUUAAUGGAAUGAGUAAACUUUAAUUAAGCAAUCAAAGUUUCAUUACACAUCAUAGAAUUCAUUAAACCUAAAAAUUCUAUGAAUGUACUAUACUUGGGAAGCCCUCAACAAUAGCUUCCAAACUAUCAAGCACCAAAAAUAAACACCAAGAAGCAACUUUGAGAAAUCACGUUUUCAAAAAUAAUUAUAUUGGACAUCUUGGUUCAGGCCUAAUAGUAAAAGUUUUUUUUUUUUAAGUAUGAUAGAAAAAUCACAACCACGUGUGACUGACUUCUUCACUGUGUAGUGCAAUUUUUUUUAAAUUGGUGAGUAGAGUUGGCCUUUGAGCAACAUGGGUUGGGGCAACAUUCCCCUGUGCAGUUGAAAAUUCAUGUGUAAUAUAACUCUUCAAAAACUUAACUAAUAAAUAGUUUUAUACUA